rnacentral:rRNA from 1 species
UACGUAGGGUGCAAGCGUUGUCCGGAAUUAUUGGGCGUAAAGAGCUCGUAGGCGGUUUGUCGCGUCUGCUGUGAAAACCCGAGGCUCAACCUCGGGCCUGCAGUGGAUACGGGCAGACUAGAGUUCGGUAGGGGAGACUGGAAUUCCUGGUGUAGCGGUGAAAUGCGCAGAUAUCAGGAGGAACACCGGUGGCGAAGGCGGGUCUCUGGGCCGAUACUGACGCUGAGGAGCGAAAACGUGGGGAGCGAACAGG